GAUGAACGCUGGCGGCGUGCCUAAUACAUGCAAGUCGAGCGAACGGACGAGAAGCUUGCUUCUCUGAUGUUAGCGGCGGACGGGUGAGUAACACGUGGAUAACCUACCUAUAAGACUGGGAUAACUUCGGGAAACCGGAGCUAAUACCGGAUAAUAUUUUGAACCGCAUGGUUCAAAAGUGAAAGACGGUCUUGCUGUCACUUAUAGAUGGAUCCGCGCUGCAUUAGCUAGUUGGUAAGGUAACGGCUUACCAAGGCAACGAUGCAUAGCCGACCUGAGAGGGUGAGGGGGCACACGGGAGCUGACGCACGGACCAGCGUCCGACGGGAGGGAGAAGUAGGGAAUGUGUCGCAAUGGGCGAAGGCAUGACGGAGAAAGUCAGCGGGAGAGAGGAAGGUCUUCAGAUCGUAAGACUCUGUUAUUAGGGAAUAACAUAAGUGUAAGUGACUGUGAACAGCGUGACGGCACCUAAUCAGAAAGCCACGCCUAACUACGUC
rnacentral:rRNA from 1 species